UACGGAGGAUGCAAGCGUUAUCCGGAAUGAUUGGGCGUAAAGGGUCCGCAGGUGGCCGUGUAAGUCUGCUGUCAAAGAAUGAGGCUUAACCUUAUCAAGGCAGUGGAAACUACACAGCUAGAGUACGGUCGGGGUAGAAGGAAUUCCUGGUGUAGCGGUGAAAUGCGUAGAGAUCAGGAAGAACACCGGUGGCGAAAGCGUUCUGCUAGACCGGUACUGACACUGAGGGACGAAAGCUAGGGGAGCGAAUGGG
rnacentral:rRNA from 1 species